AGAGUUUGAUCCUGGCUCAGGAUGAACGCUAAGGCCUAACACAUGCAAGUCGAACGGCAGCACGGGUAGCAAUAUCUGGUGGCGAGUGGCGCACGGGUGCGUAACACGUAUGCAACUUACCCUUUACCGAGACAUAACCCAUCGAAAGGUGAGCUAAUAUCUCAUAAUAUUACAUUGAGGCAUCUCAGCGUAAUUAAAGUUCCGGUGGUAAAGGAUAGGCAUGCGUCCCAUUAGCUAGUUGGUAGGGUAACGGCUUACCAAGGCGACGAUGGGUAGGGGUUCUGAGAGGAAAGUCCCCCACACUGGUACUGAGACACGGACCAGACUCCUACGGGAGGCAGCAGUAAGGAAUAUUGGUCAAUGGGCGCAAGCCUGAACCAGCCAUGCCGCGUGCAGGAAGACGGCCUUAUGGGUUGUAAACUGCUUUUGUGAGGGAAAAAACUGGGGUACGUGUACCUCAUUGCUUGUACCUUACGAAUAAGCAUCGGCUAACUCCGUGCCAGCAGCCGCGGUAAUACGGAGGAUGCGAGCGUUAUCCGGAUUCAUUGGGUUUAAAGGGUGCGCAGGCGGACUAAUAAGUCAGUGGUGAAAUCCCAUAGCUUAACUAUGGAACUGCCAUUGAUACUGUUAGACUAGAGUGUAGAUGACGUAGGCGGAAUGCGACAUGUAGCGGUGAAAUGCUUAGAUAUGUCGCAGAACACCGAUUGCGAAGGCAGCUUACGAAACUACAACUGACGCUCAUGCACGAAAGCGUGGGGAUCAAACAGGAUUAGAUACCCUGGUAGUCCACGCCCUAAACGAUGAUUACUCGUUGUUAGCCUGUACAGGUUAGUGGCUAAAGGAAACCGAUAAGUAAUCCACCUGGGGAGUACGAUCGCAAGGUUGAAACUCAAAGGAAUUGACGGGGGCCCGCACAAGCGGAGGAGCAUGUGGUUUAAUUCGAUGAUACGCGAGGA
rnacentral:rRNA from 1 species